ACCUCUCCUCAAAAGCCAGGGUCCUUGGUGAGCAGAAUAAAUAAAUGGUGAGAAAGACCAGAGGAAAAUAUAAUUUACCUAGCGAUACCUCCAUUUUCUACAAUAGUUAAGAAAUAUUAUUUGCUUUUUCUCAGUUCAUUUCCAAACUAAUUCUCACACCCUUGGAAUGCUCUAAUACCAAUACUGCCACUUGCGAAGAGUAUGUCAUUCGGGCUCCUCUAUACGGCAUUAAGAUGAGGCUUCCUCAGUAAAUAAUAUAUGUGGAAGCUUCUCUGAGCUAGAACAAGCAUACCUCUUUUGUGCAUAGCAACUCCCAUGACCUAGAAGUGCUUCCUGCAGUUAUGUUCCUAAGCUGAAUAUUUCACAUGCUUUGGAGCUGAGAGCCAAGAGCCCCGUCUCUUGCAUGGUUGUUUUUAUUUUUAUUUUUUUUCUUAACACAGUCUUGAAAUCUUCAUUAUCUCCAAAUAUUCUAUCCAUGUUUGCUACUAAAUGUACAUGUAGUAGUGCUAUUGCCCAAUAUGAUUUCUGAAUGGAUUAAUGAUAAAAUCCAUUUUAUAUUUCCAUGUACACAACUCACAGGAUUCUUAAAGUAUCUCAAUCGUAGCAUACCAAUAGGUAAAGAAAUCACUUUGCUAUGAAUCAUAUCUGAAGGACUGUGAUCCCAUAUAGGAACAUGUAAAUAAUCAAGGGUUUAGGUAAAUGAUAUAAAUACAUUUGCACAAGCCUGAAUGCAUAAACUUCAUACAUGCAAAGAUAGAAAAAUAUAAGUGUUACAUGAGUUAUUUGCAAUUAUGUCUUAAAACACUCAGGGUAUUUCUGAGUGUUCAAGUUAAUGAAGUUCUUGAAAAUAUGGAUUAAUUUAAAUAUACUAAAAUUAUGUAUUACAUAUAUGUAUGUGUGUGUGUAUGCGUGUACACAUGCGCUAUAUAUGGCUAAUAACUGGCAAAAAACAUGGCUACCCUAGUGGCUUUUGUCUUUAUAUAAUAGUCACUCCAAUAAUGACUAGUAUACAUUUUAAAAACACAUUCACAGGAUAGAGAUCAUAUCUUAGACUGCUUUUGUAUCCCGCUUAAUGCCUGGCAGAAUGUUCUGCACAACACAGUAAGCAUACAGUCUUGAAUGAAAGCUAGAAAUAUUCAUUGUAGACUAUGUAUCUGUUCUUCCCAAGUCUAUAUUUUCUUUCCAGGUAUAUAUAUGGUUAACCAUCA
rnacentral:lncRNA from 1 species